GCUUGUCUCAAAGAUUAAGCCAUGCAUGUCUUAGUGUAAAUAACUCUUAUGAAACUGCGAAUGGCUCAUUAAAUCAGUUAUCAAAUACGUGAUGGUCGCCUACUACAUGGAUAACCGUAGUAAUUCUAGAGCUAAUACAUGCGUAAAAUCCCGACUCUCGCGGGGAGGGAUGUAUUUAUUAGAUAAAAAACCAAUGCGGGGCAACCCGGUUUUGUGGUGAAUCAUAGUAACUUUUCGGAUCGCAUAGCUUCACGCUGGCGAUAGUUCAUUCAAAUUUCUGCCCUAUCAGCUUUCGACGGUAGUGUAGUGGACUACCGUGGCGUUAACGGGUGACGGAGAAUUAGGGUUCGAUUCCGGAGAGGGAGCCUGAGAAACGGCUACCACAUCCAAGGAAGGCAGCAGG
rnacentral:rRNA from 1 species